UUAACAACUGGUCUGAGAACACUGCUGCAACUUGGAAUCUGUGCACCUGUGCAAUCAGCCUGUGAAAGUGCUGCAGUUUGCAAACUAGUAUGCACAGCAGAUACUGGAGUCAGAGCAUGAAAUAAGGAAUUCAGGAACAAGUCUGAGUGAACUCUAGGCUACUGCAUGAAAUCCCGGCCCACAGAACAGGAGACUGAGUGCAAUCUACAGUAUAACACAAGAUUUGGUUUUAAGAUGCAAGAUAAGACCUUGUGGUAAGAUCCAAAGCCAGGACUCAAUUCCACUCAAAAUCUCACAUGAUCUGAACUAGGACACACUUGGAACCCCAAUAUUCAGGCGGCCGUUGAACUUGCUCCCCCCUGGUUGCCGGGCAACAGGACGUUGUGCCGAGCUGGUCGCAUGGACGUGUGGAUAGGAUCAGCCGGUGUUAGGCGCUCUUGAUUCGCCAGCGGGGUGAAAAGGAGGGACGGAGGCUUUUCAUUGGUAAAGGUGGCACGGACAUGAGCCCGCCCACCUGUGUUGCUGGGCAACGGGAAGCCGGGCUGACAAGGUGACGUACGGACGCACGCAGGCGACAGUGACGUCACCGGAAGGCGCCGGGAACCCGGUGGCAUGGUGAGGAGGCGCGAGAAUCACUUUGGGCCCUCUUUGUUGAACAUCGUGAAUGGAGAGACCGCCUCCCCAUGUUGGAACUCCGGAUUGCCCAGGAACGUCAGGAACAAGGACUUGUGCCCACCUAAAUUCCUAGCGCGUCUAAGAAUAUGCCAUAAUUUAUAUAUCGUCCAUAGAAGUGGGUUAUCUUUCAAUUCCUGGUCGAAUUCCGCUUCCACCCCGUGAAGGAAAGAUAUUAGGUUUCUGGACCCCACAAAUUGUGCCUCCAGCUGUGUAUUAGCAUAAGUGUUACUAUUAUGUAACCAGUCUUUUAAAAAUCUCAAUAAA